rnacentral:rRNA from 1 species
AUUGAACGCUGGCGGCAGGCCUAACACAUGCAAGUCGAACGGUAACAGGAAGAAGCUUGCUUCUUUGCUGACGAGUGGCGGACGGGUGAGCAAUGUCUGGGAAACUGCCUGAUGGAGGGGGAUAACUACUGGAAACGGUAGCUAAUACCGCAUAACGUCGCAAGACCAAAGAGGGGGACCUUCGGGCCUCUGGCCAUCGGAUAUGCCCAGAUGGGAUUAGCUAGUAGGUGGGGUAACGGCUCAACUAGGCGACGAUCCCUAACUGGUCUGAGAGCAUGACCCGCCACACUGGAACUGAGACACGGUCCAGACUCCUGCGGGAGGCAGCAGUGGGGAAUAUUGCACAAUGGGCGCGAGCCUGAUGCAGCCAUGCCGCGUAUAUGCAGAAGGCCUUCGGGUUGUAAAGUACUUUCAGCGGGGAGGAAGGAAAUAAAGUUAAUACCUUUGCUCAUUGACGUUACCCGCAGAAGAAGCACCGGCUAACUCCGUG